CCAGCGCCAUCGUCAUCGAGCACCUCUGCUCCGAGCGUCGGAUCCACCUCGGGCUCCAUCUACACAACCACGCACUGGCAGCCGCUGCCAUGGAAGGUCUCCUCCCCGCCCCUCUCCCACCCAGACUGUUGUUAGUUUUGAUUUGGCCGCUCCCUUCCCUGAUGCGUCUUCCUCACGCGCGCGCAGGUUCUCUAUGUGCUUGCUUCUUCCCUUCCCAAGACGCUGUUGCUCCGACGCCAUGGAUAAUGUAAGAAUUUCUCUUCCCUCCCCUUCUGUUCGUCUCCUUCAUCCGUCCUAAAUUUUGCUUACUGCACCAGAAUAAUUAUUUCUUCAGAGAGGAGAAGAGGAGAGGUCUUGCAAUCCAGCUUGUCUUCUUGAACAAUUGAAGCACAAUUCUUUGCAGCACCUGAAGUUUCAGACUAAAUAAAUUAUGUUGGCCACCUGUAUUUGGAAAAUUUACCCUAUGUAGCAUGCAACUUUAGUUUUCUAUAGAAGGCCGUUGUGCUUGCCGUUCCAAAAGUGCCACCAGUAUUAGCAACGGACGUUCCAAAAGUGCCGGUGGAAAAUUGUGAAAUCGGUAGUGCAGUUUGCAUCUUUGUAACAAAACAUGUUAUAAGAUCAAUAUUAAACCAAAACUUGGACUCUGUAUCUAGUGUAUGGAAGUUUAAGUGAUUAUGUGAAUCUCCUUUUCCUCCAGUAGUGCCGCAGAUUUCAAUCAUUAUUUAUUUGGCUUAGAGACUGAAAAAUCAAGAGAGAGAUUAUGAAGUGUUUCUUUGCUGCUGAGAACACUGUAUGUAUUCACUGUAAUUGACAUCCCUACUGUAUCAAUGUGUCUCCUUGCCCAUGCAGGUGCAGGACAGAGCCGCCAUAUGGUGUGCGCGGUGAUUCUUUUUCCACUCUGAUGCCUUCCGCGCUACGUGUCUGAUGGACCCGAUUUUACUUCCACUCCGACAUAGCUAAUGGUAAGCCACUGGUGUUCUCUCUCGCUCUCAUGCUCUAUGUGUCCACGGCCGUCGUGCCAUGCUGAUUUAUAGUUGCCACCCAGAUUCUUAUUAUCCUGCUGCGGCUUGGAGUUGUGAAAAGAUCUAGAAAUUGAUGGUUGUUUGAAUUUUAUUUUGUUGCUGCCCUGUGUUAACUCAUUAAUUUCCUUUGUAUGCAUCUUAUUUUCUACCAUUGUCUCUUAAGCAUCAUGUUCAACAAUAUGUGUUAUUUGCAGCAGAAAAUAUGAUAAUACCAGAGGAGGAAGCGAGCUUAGCAAAUGAUGAAUUAUAGAGGCUCUCAAAUAUUGGUGAAACAAGAGGAAGGUGAGAGGUCUUAUAGAACUGAAUAGGAUUCUUUUUAUAGAACUGUUAUCUAUGGUAUGAUGCUUGGUUCAAAAAUAAAAAGGGCUAGAAUGGGAGAAAGGGUCAUCAGUGUGAACUAAAAGUCUAUUGUUUUUCUUCUGGGUAUGCUUUGCAUUUUAUUGUCAUGUUUCAUGCUUCAUAGCGUGUGUAUGUGCAUAUAAUUACACACAUAUACACUAGUUUGUAAUGUCACUAUAAAUAGAUGAUUCAUCAGACCAUCAGAGUUUGCAUCAGACUAUAAUCGAUGAUGCAUCAAAUCGAAAGGAGGAUCAUCUGCUACAUCAGGCAUUUACAUGAUAGCUUGUUUCUAUGUGUACUGUGUAAUAUGAAGUAAAAAAAGUGUAGUUUGAUUCAGUGGCAUGCUUUACCAUUGAAUGAUCUUGAGCAACAUUGCACCAGCACGUGUCUGGGGUGGAAAAGGUCGGGAAAACUAUCCCAGAGUCCAGCCUGAACUUAUAUUCAAAGCAAUGGGUGUUGAGCCUGAUAUUAUGUUUGCUGGACAACUCGAAUCUAAAAGUGCAGGUCAAGAAACACCAGAACUAUUUAAUGUUUCUAUAUUUUUUAUUUACUCUGUCGUUUGUUUAUGUUUCCAGAUUACUGUCGAGAUGUAGCUCGUUUGGUUCAUAUAAAUCUUAUUCCAAGCCUUUAUAUAGUUGUUUUAGGUCUAAUAUUUCACAGCAUUUCGAAGCCAUUAAAGUUAUCAUUGACUUACACUGCACUGAACAUAUAAAAGUUAUCUUUUAUUUCACUCAAGUUUAACCUCAAGCCUAAGACUUAUUGGUCGAUAAGCACUGCUAAUGUUCAGAUUGAAAACAAAGCCCUAGAUCAGUGACAGAGUAACUAUCUGGUGCUUCAACCCAUCCAGAGAUGAAUUCUGCACCCGAGUUUCUUCCUUCUUGUUGAAAAAAGUUAAGGGGCCCCUCCUCAUGUUGUGUUGAUUUAUAGUGUCCAGAUUGGUUAAGUUCCACCUUGCUCGAUGAAAGAUCUGCUUAUAGUACUUGAGAAAGGAAUUAUCAGUUCCUAAAUUCGGCUCGAGAGUCAAGUUAUUAUUAUGUUCUAUCAGAUCUAGUCCAUUAACAAAAUAGGAGUUGCUUCCUCUUUUGCAUUUAUGAUAAUUAGCGGAGUUGCAUGGUCUCACAAUGUUUAUGUGGUGGUUAGUUGCUCGGGCUUUUUUCUUGUAUUUCAAUACUAGAAAAUAGAAGAGGCUAUCAAUGUCAGCACAAAGCUGUUGGGCUAUAGCAAUGUAACUAAUCAAGUUUCACAACGGCCUGUUGGUUCUCAAUCGUUGUAGUUCAGAGCUGUAUGUUUAGUUUAAACUCGAGCUAACUCUGGCCGAUGUAGAUGGUUUCCAAUAUAAUGCUACAUAAUUUCCCCUUUUGUAUUCGUCACCCUUGUUUGGCACUACUUUUUUUAUCAGCAUAUGCAAACUUUCAUGUAACAUGCAAACUCUCAUGGAUCUGUACGUGUGUUUGUAAGAACUUGAAUGCUGGUUUGAUGAUUUAUUUUCUACGAAGUUGGGCAUAUAUUCAUGGCUGUUUCUUGAUAACAUUGCAUGUAACUGGGUUUCUUCAUUGCACUUAAAUAAGUCUGUUUUUAGCUUUGGCCUAUAUGCUGCCUAAUUAAACUUGAAAAUUAGAGAGAAACAAGAAAGAUCUGCUUAUAGUACUUGAGAAAGGAAUUAUCAGUUCCUAAAUUCGGCUCGAGAGUCAAGUUAUUAUUAUGUUCUAUCAGAUCUAGUCCAUUAACAAAAUAGGAGUUGCUUCCUCUUUUGCAUUUAUGAUAAUUAGCGGAGUUGCAUGGUCUCACAAUGUUUAUGUGGUGGUUAGUUGCUCGGGCUUUUUUCUUGUAUUUCAAUACUAGAAAAUAGAAGAGGCUAUCAAUGUCAGCACAAAGCUGUUGGGCUGUAGCAAUGUAACUAAUCAAGUUUCACAACGGCCUGUUGGUUCUCAAUCGUUGUAGUUCAGAGCUGUAUGUUUAGUUUAAACUCGAGCUAACUCUGGCCGAUGUAGAUGGUUUCCAAUAUAAUGCUACAUAAUUUCCCCUUUUGUAUUCGUCACCCUUGUUUGGCACUACUUUUUUUAUCAGCAUAUGCAAACUUUCAUGUAACAUGCAAACUCUCAUGGAUCUGUACGUGUGUUUGUAAGAACUUGAAUGCUGGUUUGAUGAUUUAUUUUCUACGAAGUUGGGCAUAUAUUCAUGGCUGUUUCUUGAUAACAUUGCAUGUAACUGGGUUUCUUCAUUGCACUUAAAUAAGUCUGUUUUUAGCUUUGGCCUAUAUGCUGCCUAAUUAAACUUGAAAAUUAGAGAGAAACAAGAAAACUAGGAGAAAUGCAUAGAUUUAAUUAGAGAGGAAGUGCAAUCAAGUAUUUGUUUACUUUUUAUUUAAGCAAGACAGUUUGUUGAACAUCUUCUGUUUUUAGAUUUUUGGACUCAAGAGCAACUCAGAAGUUUGAACAAAUGCUGCUAUGAUAAUAUUGCUGAAACAUAUGAGUGAUUUUACAGGGUAUAAUGGCAGAAGGUAUCAAAUCGAAGAUGUUAUGGCUUUUCUUCAUGGGAUGCAUGGUCGACCUACUUUCAUAUGGAAGUUGUUGUUGGUUCGAUGAACAAAGACUUGGUGUGUUCCAUAGUGUUUUGUAUAGUGACUAGACAUGAGUCUCUUAUGAACUUAGCCCGUAUUUUGUAACAUGUCACAGCUUAUAUGUCGACCUAUGUAUUUCCUUAGUGGUUGUAGCUAACUUGAGUGAAGAAAACUAAUGAAUCUUCUAUAUGUUGAAUAUAUAUGUAUUUAUCAAUGGUAUCUUGUGAUGAAUACAAGAGUAUAAUUGUUUAUAUAUGUAUUGGGUAUUGAACAUGAAUUGAACAUUAUGAAUGUAAUUUCAUUCAAAUAAUGGUGCAUUUGCAUUUGUGCUG
rnacentral:lncRNA from 1 species